AAGAGGUCAAGCCCCAGCUACAUGGCUUGUGAGCCACGGGUUGGGGACAAGUCUGGCUGAGAAUCGGACAGCCCCACAGGGAUCCAGGCCAGAUGACCAGGAGGCAGAAUGGACAUAGGUCCCUCCUGUAGAGGAAGAGCUGUCCACCCCAGCACAGAUCUCUCCAGGUAGCAUCCUGCCAACCUUUUGCAAGAACCCCGAAAAGUCAUCACAGCAAGGCAACCGUUCCCAUUGGGAACUGGAUUUCACACUCACCACCACAUACCACACCAUGAGGCAGUGAUAGGUGUCAUGAUAUGGAUGGAACCAGAAACCUUAUGAGGGGG